UACAGAGGGUGCGAGCGUUAAUCGGAAUUACUGGGCGUAAAGCGCGCGUAGGCGGCUUUGCAAGCCGGAUGUGAAAUCCCCGGGCUUAACCUGGGAACUGCAUUCGGGACUGCAUUGUUAGAGUAUGGGAGAGGGAAGUGGAAUUUCAGGUGUAGCGGUGAAAUGCGUAGAUAUCUGAAGGAACAUCAGUGGCGAAAGCGACUUCCUGGACCAAUACUGACGCUCAUGUGCGAAAGCGUGGGGAGCAAACAGG
rnacentral:rRNA from 1 species